rnacentral:lncRNA from 1 species
GCUUUUCUCAUAAAUAUCUAAAUCUAAAUGAAUUUUUUAAAAAAAUUAUCAUUUUUUUAAAACAAAUUACAAAAAUACUAUCUUUCAAAAAAAAAUUGCAAAAAUACGGUGGUUGCAUAUGCAACCUUAUAUGCAACUGUAGCAACCAUAUAUGCAACCACAAAUACAACUUUGAAACAAUCAGUUGAAAAUUACAUUUAGUUGCAUAAUAAAUUGCAAGCGGUUGCAAAUGACGAAAAAUGAGAGCUCAUGCGGGGCCAGUAUUAAUAAUACAAAAGCAACUUGAAAUUCAACUAAAAUCAAUCACAAAAUCAACUAAAAGCAACCAGAACCUUAGUACCUUCAGUCCAUCACUUUAUUCCGAUCCCUUUCGCUUGUAUACACCACAACCUUCCGUUUCGGAUCCAAACAGUAGCAAAUCGGCGAAAUCUUUGAUGGUGAAAGAGAAAGGUGGAGAUGCGUGUUGAAAAUGGAGAUUGAUUUUUAAGAGGGAGUGAGAGAUGGUGAAUGUGAUUGACGAAAGUCUCACCCACGAAUCUGGAAUCAUAAUCAAAGGCCGUGAAGAAGAGAGUGACAAGAGAGAGAGGAGAUGGAGCAGAGGAAAGAGAGAAAGACAGGGAUGAGAGGGAUACAGGGAGAAGAGAGAGAUACAGAGAACAGGUGGAGAGAGAGAGAAAGGAGUGAGAGGGAGAGCGUAUUUACACAAUUU